AUUGAACGCUGGCGGCAGGCCUAACACAUGCAAGUCGAACGGUAACAGGAAGCAGCUUGCUGCUUUGCUGACGAGUGGCGGACGGGUGAGUAAUGUCUGGGAAACUGCCUGAUGGAGGGGGAUAACUACUGGAAACGGUAGCUAAUACCGCAUAACGUCGCAAGACCAAAGAGGGGGACCUUAGGGCCUCUUGCCAUCGGAUGUGCCCAGAUGGGAUUAGCUAGUAGGUGGGGUAACGGCUCACCUAGGCGACGAUCCCUAGCUGGUCUGAGAGGAUGACCAGCCACACUGGAACUGAGACACGGUCCAGACUCCUACGGGAGGCAGCAGUGUGGAAUAUUGCACAAUGGGCGCAAGCCUGAUGCAGCCAUGCCGCGUGUAUGAAGAAGGCCUUCGGGUUGUAAAGUACUUUCGGCGGGGAGGAAGGGAGUAAAGUUAAUACCUUUGCUCAUUGACGUUACCCGCAGAAGAAGCACCGGCUAACUCCGUG
rnacentral:rRNA from 1 species